AUUCAGCUGAAGAGUCCCAAAUAAAACGAAACCCUAAAU
rnacentral:hammerhead_ribozyme from 1 species